ensembl:lncRNA
AGGUGCCAGUGAUUCCAGUAGAGAGCUUUGUGGGUGAACAGCAGAUGGAAUACUGCAACUUACUACAAUUAUUCUAAUGACAAAUCCCCUCAAUAUAUUAAUGGAUCUUUCUUUGGAAACCUGACAUUUGUCCCAGAAAGUUUCAGUGGUCAGGUUAGUGGUGAGCAUUUUUUUUUUAAAUGUUUUUUUUUUGUUUUUAAUUAUUAUUAUUAUUAUUAUUAUUUAUUUUUUUAUUUUUUUUUUUUUUAGUGGCUGAAUCAUAAAACUAUUACCACAAUAAUAAUAAAAAAAUAAUAAUAUGAGAAUUGUCUUACUGACAGCAAUUCAAAUCUAUUUUGGCCAGAAUCAAUGGUUUACAGUUAGUUAAAAUGCCUGAUGGAUAGUCGUUUGGAUUACCUGUGAAUUAUUGUGAUGUUUUUAUCUGCUGUUUGAACUCUCAUUCUGAUGUCACCCAUUCACUGCAGAGGAUCCAUUGUUGAGAAAGUGAUGGAAUGCUAAAUUACUCCAGUCUUGAAUGUCCUGAAGGCGAGUACAUUUUUUAGCAUCAUUAUUUUUAACUAUUCCUUAAACGUUAAGUUGUACAUAAUUCUAUUCCUCAAACGUUAAAUUGCACAUAAUACUGAUCCAUCUCUUAACCCUCUAUGGUACGGUGUUGCCUUCAGGCAACAUAGUCUAUUUUAGCUUUUUUUUUUUUAUAAAAACUUAAUAAAAUGUAAUUGGUCAAUGCUCUCUAAGGGGAGGGGAACUCGUAUUUAACCAAUGAAAAUGCAAAAGAGUGGUCACAUGACCCACAUGGGUCCAUUUUGUUCCCUCUUUCAGCACACGUGCACAUGUCACAUGGCUCCAUAUUUUCUCCACUGAAAAAGGCAUUUUUCACUAAUUUCUGUCCCGAUAAUCAGCUACAAAAAAUCAGAAUCACAUUCAUUGAGGCUUGCCAGCAGCAAUACACACGAGCUAGAAUUUAGUGUGAAAAAAAAGCAGGACAAUCCUUCUAGUACCACAAUGGAGAGGCAGACUGCCAAAGGCAACAGAUGUGAAACAUCCUGCUGAAUACUUUAGAGGCCUCCUCACUAGUAGCUGUAUUGAAAAUAUAGUAGAACAAACCAACCUCUAUGCCAUACAGUGUGAUCCUAGCAAACCACUCAAAGUCACAGUUGAGGAGAUUGAGCAAUUCAUUGGCAUUUGUUUCUUUAUAGGAUAAGGUUUUGGUGAUUGUUAAUGUUUUACCUUGAAACAACAUCGAUUGUAAUGUUUUGAUAUCAUAAUUUGGUGAUAUGAUGGUAUGCGUUGCACGAUGGUACAAUGUUGCCUUAGGGCAACAGCUGGAUUAUAAAUGUUACUUUUUAUUAAAUAUGAAAUGUGUAAUUCAUUAAAAACUUGAUAAAUCUGUUUGUUCAAGUGUUUAGUUAAAGAAAUUGAUGAUUUCAAUAAAUAUAUACAUUUUUCUUCA